rnacentral:rRNA from 1 species
UCAGGACGAACGCUGGCGGCGUGCCUAAUACAUGCAAGUCGAGCGAAUCGAUGGGAGCUUGCUCCCUGAGAUUAGCGGCGGACGGGUGAGUAACACGUGGGCAACCUGCCUAUAAGACUGGGAUAACUUCGGGAAACCGGAGCUAAUACCGGAUACGUUCUUUUCUCGCAUGAGAGAAGAUGGAAAGACGGUUUACGCUGUCACUUAUAGAUGGGCCCGCGGCGCAUUAGCUAGUUGGUGAGGUAAUGGCUCACCAAGGCGACGAUGCGUAGCCGACCUGAGAGGGUGAUCGGCCACACUGGGACUGAGACACGGCCCAGACUCCUACGGGAGGCAGCAGUAGGGAAUCUUCCGCAAUGGGCGAAAGCCUGACGGAGCAACGCCGCGUGAGUGAUGAAGGUUUUCGGAUCGUAAAGCUCUGUUGCCAAGGAAGAACGUCUUCUAGAGUAACUGCUAGGAGAGUGACGGUACUUGAGAAGAAAGCCCCGGCUAACUACGUGCCAGCAGCCGCGGUAAUACGUAGGGGGCAAGCGUUGUCCGGAAUUAUUGGGCGUAAAGCGCGCGCAGGCGGUUCUUUAAGUCUGGUGUUUAAACCCGAG